rnacentral:rRNA from 1 species
CCAAUCGAACCCGGAGAUAGCUGGUUCUCCUCGAAAUAGCUUUAGGGCUAGCCUCGAUACAGAUUUGCGGAGGUAGAGCACUGAAUUUCCUAGGGGGCGUCAAAGCCUACCGAAGAAUAUCAAACUCCGAAUGCCGCGUAAUCGAUUAUCGGGAGUCAGACUGCACGAGAUAAGUUGGGCGGUCAAAAGGGAAAGAGCCCAGACCUUCAGUUAAGGUCCCCAAGUGCGCGUUAAGUGGAAAAGGAUGUGGGAUUUCGAAGACAACCAGGAUGUUGGCUCAGAAGCAGCCAUCCAUUCAAAGAGUGCGUAAUAGCUCACUGGUCGAGAGGUCCUGCGCCGAAAAUGUCCGGGGCUGAAACGCGCCACCGAAACUAAGGAACCGAAAGGUUGGUAGAGGAGCAUUGCAUGCGGGAAGAAGCAGUACCGUAAGGAGCUGUGGACUGCAUGGAAGAGAGAAUGCCGGAAUGAGUAGCGAGAUAGAGGUGGGAAUCCUCUAGGCCGAAUAUCCAAGGUUUCCAGAGUAAAGCUGAUCUGCUCUGGGUAAGUCGGGGCCUAAGGCGAGGACGAGAGUCGUAGCCGAUGGACAACAGGUGGAGAUUCCUGUACUGCGGUAUGACAGAACUGUGGGGACACGUAAGGAAAGCGGAAGCCGGGAAUGGAAAGCCCGGUGCAAGCGGGGUACCAGUCACUUUGGCAAAUCCGGGUGGCAAUGGGAAGCCGUGAUGCGGAGCGAAAUAAAGUAGCGAAGUCCGUGAGCCAUGCGUCAAGAAAAGCCGCUAUUGUUUAUACCGUACCCGUACCGUAAACCGACACAGGUGGAUGAGGAGAGAAUCCUAAGGCCGGCGGAAGAAGCAUUGUCAAGGAACUCGGCAAAAUGGCCCCGUAACUUAGGGAUAAGGGGUGCCUGGGAAACCAGGCCGCAGAGAAUAGGCUCAAGCAACUGUUUAGCAAAAACACAGGUCUAUGCGAAACCGAAAGGUGAGGUAUAUGGGCUGACGCCUGCCCGGUGCUGGAAGGUUAAGAGGAGAGGUUAGCGCAAGCGAAGCUUUGAAUUUAAGCCCCAGUAAACGGCGGCCGUAACUAUAACGGUCCUAAGGUAGCGAAAUUCCUUGUCGGGUAAGUUCCGACCCGCACGAAAGGCGUAAUGAUUUGAGCGCUGUCUCGACAAUGCACCCGGUGAAAUUGAAAUACCAGUGAAGAUGCUGGUUACCUGCGCCA